GGGAAGUUGGCUCAAUGGUAGAGCACUUGCCUCACAUGCAUGAGGCCCUGCAUUCGAUUCCUCA
rnacentral:tRNA from 1 species